AUUGAACGCUGGCGGCAGGCCUAACACAUGCAAGUCGUGCGGCAGCGGGACCUUCGGGUUGCCGGCGAGCGGCGGACGGGUGAGUAAUGCCUAGGAAUCUGCCUGUUAGUGGGGGAUAACGCGGGGAAACUCGCGCUAAUACCGCAUACGUCCUACGGGAGAAAGCGGGGGCUCUUAGGACCUCGCGCUAACAGAUGAGCCUAGGUCGGAGUAGCUAGUUGGUGGGGUAAUGGCCCACCAAGGCGCCGAUCCGUAACUGGUUUGAGAGGAUGAUCAGUAACACUGGAACUCAGACACGGUCCAGACUCCUAAGGGAGGCAGCAGUGGGGAAGAUUGGACAAUGGGCGAAAGCCUGAUCCAGCCAUGCCGCGUGUGUGAAGAAGGUCUUCGGAUUGUAAAGCACUUUAAGUCGGGAGGAAGUACUGUAGGCUAAUACCUUGCAGUUUUGACGUAACCGACAGAAUAAGCACCGGCUAACUUCGUGCCAGCAGCCGCGGUAACAC
rnacentral:rRNA from 1 species